UAAGUUGUGGGGGGUGUGUGGUUUUUUUUUUUUGUUUUUUUGUUUUGUUUGAAGCUCUUAACAAUUAAUGUUGCUGCUUAGUGUUUGGGUCUGUGCUGCUGUAUGUAUGUGAGCUGUAAUACUCACUGUGAAGGUCUUCAACUUCACUCCUGAAGUCAGUGAGAUCACGAGCCCACCAGAAGGAAGAAACUCCACACACUUCUGAACAGCUGAAGGAACGAACUCCGGACACACCACCUUGUAGAACUGUGACACUCAUGCCUUAAAAAGGAUAUUCUGUCAUGUGUGGCAAGAUGGAUAAACCUGGAGGACAUUACGCUCCAGUGAAACGGUAUUCUAGCUCCCAAUCCAAGAAUGGAGGCAUAUGGAAGUGGAUGAAGCUAAACUAUGGUAUCGGAAACUGACCCUGAGUGAAGAAUCUGUGUUACUGUUGAGGCUCUGCCCUGAGGAUCUCUGUGACAUGGCAGAGCUCACCGCGUCCCCUGAUGCUUCUUCAUCUGUGGGAGUCUG
rnacentral:lncRNA from 1 species